rnacentral:rRNA from 1 species
CCCUUAGAUGUUCUGGGCUGCACGCGCGCUACACUGAAGCGUUCAACGAGUAUUUCACCUUGCCCGGGAGGGUUGGGUAAUCUUUUUAAAACGCUUCGUGAUGGGGAUAGAUUAUUGCAAUUAUUAAUCUUCAACGAGGAAUUCCUAGUAAGCGCGAGUCAUCAGCUCGUGCUGAUUACGUCCCUGCCCUUUGUACACACCGCCCGUCGCUCCUACCGAUUGAGUGCUCAGGUGAAUAAUUCGGACUGCAGCAGUGUUUGGAUCCCGAACGCUGCAGCGGAAAGUUUAGUGAACCUUAUCACUUAGAGGAAGGAGAAGUCGUAACA